rnacentral:rRNA from 1 species
AGUGAACGCUGGCGGUAGGCCUAACACAUGCAAGUCGAACGGCAGCACAGUAAGAGCUUGCUCUUACGGGUGGCGAGUGGCGGACGGGUGAGGAAUACAUCGGAAUCUACUUUUUCGUGGGGGAUAACGUAGGGAAACUUACGCUAAUACCGCAAACGACCUACGGGUGAAAGCAGGGGAUCUUCGGACCUUGCGCGAUUGAAUGAGCCGAUGUCGGAUUAGCUAGUUGGCGGGGUAAAGGCCCACCAAGGCGACGAUCCGUAGCUGGUCUGAGAGGAUGAUCAGCCACACUGGAACUGAGACACGGUCCAGACUCCUACGGGAGGCAGCAGUGGGGAAUAUUGGCCAAUGGGCGCAAGCCUGAUCCAGCCAUACCGCGUGGGUGAAGAAGGCCUUCGGGUUGUAAAGCCCUUUUGUUGGGAAAGAAAAGCAGCAGGUUAAUACCCCGCUGUUCUGACGGUACCCAAAGAAUAAGCACCGGCUAACUUCGUG